rnacentral:rRNA from 1 species
CCUACGGGCGGCAGCAGUGGGGAAUAUUGGACAAUGGGCGAAAGCCUGAUCCAGCCAUGCCGCGUGUGUGAAGAAGGCCUUCGGGUUGUAAAGCACUUUCAGUGGGGAAGAAAGCCUUGGGGCUAAUACCCUCGAGGAAGGACAUCACCCACAGAAGAAGCACCGGCUAACUCCGUGCCAGCAGCCGCGGUAAUACGGAGGGUGCGAGCGUUAAUCGGAAUUACUGGGCGUAAAGCGCGCGUAGGCGGUCUGAUAAGCCGGUUGUGAAAGCCCCGAGCUCAACCUGGGAACGGCAUCCGGAACUGUCAGGCUAGAGUGCAGGAGAGGAAGGUAGAAUUCCCGGUGUAGCGGUGAAAUGCGUAGAGAUCGGGAGGAAUACCAGUGGCGAAGGCGGCCUUCUGGACUGACACUGACGCUGAGGUGCGAAAGCGUGGGUAGCAAACAGGAUUAGAUACCCCAGUAGUC